AUGUCAACAUACACAACUAUCCAGUUACCGCGUUGGGAUGGUGGCAAGCUGAAAGUUCGCUUCAUAUACUUGUCAAAUAGAAGCUCUUUCAAAGUGACGAGCUGUCCUAUCGAGGGACCAAUGGUUCCUCUCUUUUUAGGUGCUGAUCUUUUCUCAAACACUGAUAUCCGCACAGAGAACCAUCCCAGAUAUCAUGCAAAGUUUGCAAAGAAAGGAUUGGCAACUAAACUACAUUUCUCCUCAGCUUUUAGAUUCCAUGGACUGAGGGUACCCACUGCCAACAAUUGCAUGUGGUUCUACAGCAUCCAAGGUGUUUUUCGAGUGGCCUUUGAAAUGUAUAGUAAACAAGAACAGCUCUCUGUGUUGGAGAACUUUCAGGAGGUAUGGAAGUCCCGCCUAAAUGACUUCCCACUAAAGAUGAGCUACAACCUGAGUGUCCAGCUGGAUCCUCCACCACCCCAGAUCGUUGUGGAGAUGUAUGACCAAGACCUAAAGCUCAAACUGAUGUCCCGGAAUCCCCAAGGUUACCCAUCUCAAUCUGUGGAAAUCCCAGAGGCAGACACAGGCCCUUCAGGUGACACUUCAGCAGACCACGAUUACUGCUUUCUGCCAAAUGAGGGUAUGCCAGCACAGCCAGUCCAUCUAUGUCCCUCCAUCUUAAGUCAAAAACUGCAGGGCUUGGAGGAAAAGCUGAGCUCUGAGAAACAGCUGGGGACCGACCAGCAGGAGACCAUACUGCUUCUGUUGGAGAGCAUUGAGCGCUGUGUGAGCAGGCCCCUAGAGGAGAGGGAUGUGGCGGACAUUGUACUAGCUCUGCUAGAGGCUCGGAAGUGGGGCUCUGUGUACUCCAGCCACCUGCUUCACUCCAUAGGCUGCUGGCUUGGCCAGCAGUUCCAUGGAGCCAACAGUAGUAUCAGCCAUCAGGUAGAGGGCUUCAAGGUGCGGCACAUAGAGCGAAUCACAGAUCUGCCACCUGCAGAGGAACUGGCCUCAGAGCUUUUUCCAGAGGCCAUGCGAACACUGCUGCUCCACUGGAUGGGUCUGAGUGAUGACUCAACCCUGUGGAAGAGACAGAGCGAGUACCCUAUCCUGCUCCUAAUCCUGGAGUUUGCCAACCACAACCUCAUCACUGGUGUUGCACAUGUGCUUUACUCAAGUCUUAAGGUGAAUUUAGAUCUAGCCAACUCAAAAGAGUUAAGUACCGAAGAAAGUAAAACUACUGUUGUAAAAAAACUACUCAAGUAAAAAGUAGUAUAUUUAAAAAGUACUUAGAGUAAAAGUAAAUGAGUACUUUUUUUAAAUAAAAACAUUGAACUAAUUAAUAAUUUGCAAAAAUUUUUCUACCCGAAUGUUGUUACCAUAGAGAUCAUGUUGAAUUUCUAUUAUUAGUACUCUAGUUCCUAAUUUGUUACACAAGAUCUUUUCCAUGCAAUUACUUUAAAAGAGGAAUUGAAUGUAAAAUAUCAUUAGAAAUGAGGAGUUGUUUUUGGUGUAACAUUAUAGGCCUACUAUGCUAUGCUAUGGUAUGUAUUAUAGUCGGUUCUGUUAUGUAAAAUGCAAAUUAUCAAUGUGAUCUUGCAAGACAUUGAUUCAGCUUUGAUCUAACUUUACUAAGUGAGCACCAUUGUGAGAAGUGAUCUUCUAUUUGUAGUAUCAGUAAUAAUAAUAAUAAUAAUAAUAAUAAUAAUAAUAAUGUGAGUAUGACCAUUAGGCAUAGGUAAUAGAUCUUGAUGAGAUGUCAUUUUAAGCAAUUGGAGCACCCUUCAUGGUGCUGAAAGGACAGUGCCAGGAUCGGACUGUUGGGGCAAAAAUGGUUUUGUUAGUCUAAUGAUAUGUAAAUGCUUAAGUUGAAUAGUACUUUACACUGGUAAUUUUCCCUGCAAUUGCUUCAAUAAACUCUUAUUGCUGAUUCCUGGAACAAGUUUUAUUCAAGCAAUUUACCCAGACAAAAAAAGUCCAUUAUUUAUGGGAUUUUCACAAAAUGUAGUCCAUAGAAUUGUCCUGCGGAGGAAGAAUUGUUGACAUAUACAGUGCAUUCAGAAAGUAUUCAGACCCCUUGACUUUUUCCACAUUUUGUUCCAUUAUGCCUAUGUAUUUUACAGGAAGUGAGCUAAAAUCAUCAAUGUCAUGACAAGUAUACUGCUCAAAAAAAUAAAGGGAACACUUAAACAACACAUCCUAGAUCUGAAUGAAAGAAAUAAUCUUAUUAAAUACUUUUUUCUUUACAUAGUUGAAUGUGCUGACAACAAAAUCACACAAAAAUAAUCAAUGGAAAUCCAAUUUAUCAACCCAUGGAGGUCUGGAUUUGGAGUCACACUCAAAAUUAAAGUGGAAAACCACACUACAGGCUGAUCCAACUUUGAUGUAAUGUCCUUAAAACAAGUCAAAAUGAGGCUCAGUAGUGUGUGUG
rnacentral:lncRNA from 8 species